rnacentral:rRNA from 1 species
UNUGACUUGAGUGCAGAAGGGGAGAGUGGAAUUCCAUGUGUAGCGGUGAAAUGCGUAGAUAUAUGGAGGANCACCAGUGGCGAAAGCGGCUCUCUGNUCUGUCACUGACGCUGAGGCUNGAAAGCGUGGGUAGCGAACAGGAUUAGAUACCCUGGUAGUNCACGCCGUAAACGAUGAGUGCUAGGUGUUAGGCCCUUUCCGGGGCUUAGUGCCGGAGCUAACGCAACAAGCACUCCGCCUGGGGAGUACGACCGCAAGGUUGAAACUCAAAGGAAUUGACGGGGGCCCGCACAAGCGGUGGAGCGUGUGGUUUAAUUCGAAGCAACGCGAAGAACCUUACCAGGUCUUGACAUCCCGAUGCUAUUCUUAGAGAUAGGAAGUUACUUCGGUACAUCGGAGACAGGUGGUGCAUGGUUGUCGUUAGCUCGUGUCGUGAGAUGUUGGGUUAAGUCCCGCAACGAGCGCAACCCUUAUUGUUAGUUGCCAUCAUUAAGCUGGGCACUCUAGCGAGACUGCCGGUAAUAAACCGGAGGAAGGUGGGGAUGACGUCAAAUCAUCAUGCCCCUUAUGACCUGGGCUACACACGUGCUACAAUGGUCGGUACAACGAGUUGCGAGCCGGUGACGGCAAGCUAAUCUCUGAAAGCCGAUCUCAGUUCGGAUUGGAGGCUGCAACUCGCCUCCAUGAAGUCGGAAUCGCUAGUAAUCGCGGAUCAGCACGCCGCGGUGAAUACGUUCCCGGGCCUUGUACACACCGCCCGUCACACCACGAGAGUUUGUAACACCCGAAGUCGGUGAGGUAACCUUUUAG